GGGAACUCUUAGACCCCCACGGAUUGUUGUGUUAAUAGCUGUGCCUUUGGCCGGACAUGGUGGUUAGUGAAUC
rnacentral:ncRNA from 1 species